UAUGUUUUGGUGUAUGUUGCAUUUGGAAUUUUGAUUUCCAAGGAUUUAGUUAAAUUCUAUAAAAUAUAA
rnacentral:tRNA from 1 species